GCAGGCUUGAGUCUUGUAGAGGGGGGUAGAAUUCCAGGUGUAGCGGUGAAAUGCGUAGAGAUCUGGAGGAAUACCGGUGGCGAAGGCGGCCCCCUGGACAAAGACUGACGCUCAGGUGCGAAAGCGUGGGGAGCAAACAGGAUUAGAUACCCUGGUAGUCCACGCCGUAAACGAUGUCUACUUGGAGGUUGUGCCCUUGAGGCGUGGCUUCCGGAGCUAACGCGUUAAGUAGACCGCCUGGGGAGUACGGCCGCAAGGUUAAAACUCAAAUGAAUUGACGGGGGCCCGCACAAGCGGUGGAGCAUGUGGUUUAAUUCGAUGCAACGCGAAGAACCUUACCUGGUCUUGACAUCCACGGAACUUUCCAGAGAUGGAUUGGUGCCUUCGGGAACCGUGAGACAGGUGCUGCAUGGCUGUCGUCAGCUCGUGUUGUGAAAUGUUGGGUUAAGUCCCGCAACGAGCGCAACCCUUAUCCUUUGUUGCCAGCGGUCCGG
rnacentral:rRNA from 1 species